AAGAUGCCAACCUCUGGUUGGCAUCUUAGUGGCGGACGGGUGAGUAACGCGUAAGAACCUGCCCCUGGGAGAGGGAUACCAACUGGAAACGGUUGUUAAUACCUCAUAGGCUGAGGAGUGAAAUGGUUAACACCGCCUAGGGAUGGGCUUGCGUCUGAUUAGCUAGUUGGUGGGGCAAAAGCCUACCAAGGCAAUGAUCAGUAGCUGGUCUGAGAGGACAAUCAGCCACACUGGGACUGAGACACGGCCCAGACUCCUACGGGAGGCAGCAGUGAGGAAUUUUCCGCAAUGGGCGCAAGCCUGACGGAGCAAUGCCGCGUGGAGGAUGAAGGCCCGUGGGUUGUAAACUCCUUUUCUUAGAGAAGAAGCCCUGACGGUAUCUAAGGAAUAAGCAUCGGCUAACUCCGUGCCAGCAGCCGCGGUAAUACGGAGGAUGCAAGCGUUAUCCGGAAUCAUUGGGCGUAAAGGGUCCUGAGGUGGUUUGCUAAGUCUACUGUGAAAGAUCAGGGCUCAACCCUGAAGAUGCGGUGGAAACUGGCAGGCUAGAAUACGGUAGGGGCAGGGGGAAUUCCCGGUGUAGCGGUGAAAUGCAUAGAUAUCGGGAAGAACACCAAAGGCGAAGGCACCCUGCUGGGCCGAUAUUGACACUGACAGACGAAAGCUAGGGGAGCAAAUGGGAUUAGAUACCCCAGUAGUCCUAGCCGUAAACGAUGGAUACUAAGUGCUGAACGACCAAAAACGUGCAGUGCUGCAGCUAACGCGCUAAGUAUCCCGCCUGGGGAGUAUGCCCGCAAGGGUGAAACUCAAAGGAAUUGACGGGGGCCCGCACAAGCGGUGGAGCAUGUGGUUUAAUUCGAUGCAACGCGAAGAACCUUACCAGGGCUUGACAUGCCGUCUACCCCCUUGAAAGAGGGGGGCAACCCCGUCCCUCAUUGAGGAGA
rnacentral:rRNA from 1 species